AAAAAACAGAGUUACUUUCCUUCUCCCACCCAUAUUGUGAGAUUUCUGCAUUUUAUCUAUUAUGAAUCCUUGUUGAUGAGUUGAACAAAUUGUGUUCAAGAUUCCAAAAAAUAUCUAAACCAGAGUAUUUUGAUUUAGUGCUCAAAGCACAUUUAAUCGGACCAGGAUAGAAGAAUGAAAACAAUAAAAGGAACCUAUCAAAAGAGAGAAAAAAAAAAGAAGGAAAAUUAUAAAAGGAAGAAGGCCCAAGCUUGCAUAGAGAGUUCAGAAUACAUUUCCUUUCGCUUCAUGUAUUGAAUAGGACAUGUGCUGGUGUGGGGAGGAAACUGAAGCAAAUCCAUAAGCUAGAUUCACUUUGAUCUAUUUGUUCACAGUGUAUCUAGCCUACAACAAGCAUUCAAAGUGUUAUUAAAUAUCAUAUACAUGCAUACAUAUAUAUAUAUAUAUAUAUAUACGUCAAACUUAUGAUAGUUUUGAGAAGAAUUCUACACAGGAGAUGAUUAUUCAUGAAUCUAAGAUGGGAACUGAAAUUUACCAUAAAGAAAUGCAUGACACUUGAUUUUCACUUCAGAAUACUCCUCUUCCAAAUAUGAAGAGGUUUGGCUGCCAAUCAUAGAGAAUCUGGCCUCACUCUCCAUGUUUGGUUGAUGAGAAAAUGAUUGAAAAUGGUAGAAAACAAGAUUUAUUAAGAAAUGAUUUUUGUUUCAUAUAUGAAACUAGAGGGGUGGUGGUGUGGGGAGGAGACUGAAGCAAAUGUAUAUGCUAAAUAUCUCAAAACUACUACCAUAGAUUAGAUAACAAUUUGUAUGCAGCCACAACUUUAGUACACAAACAGAAACAUGGCAUCAGUUCUGUGUCUUUGUUAGAUAGCUAUUUGUACACAGUCAAUAUUCUUUUUCAUUCACUACCUUCACCUAGAUUCUUAUUGAAAUUUUUUGUCUUUAUUUAAACAGGUGUAUUAAGAUAGCAAUUGUGCAUGAUAUUGUAGAAGGUACGUCUUUAAUUCUUUUAAAACACUCAACAUCUAUAGGUCAAAAUGUUAAAUCAUAUUAUAGAUGUUGAAAGAAAGUUCAACACAAUAUCACUACAAUAUUUAUCAACUAAAAUCAACCACGCAUGCACCAAAAUUUUUUAACAUGGAAAACCUCUUCAAUGUGAGGAGUUAAAAACCAUGAGACCGAAGUCCACUCAAACAGGCUUCAUUAUCAACCAAAGUAAGAGUACACAAUCUGUCCCAACAUUAAUUAGGGACCAUCAACAACAACAAUCAUCAAGAAAAAAAUUUCUUGGAUUCACAAACAUAAACAUCAAAUAAUAAAAGAGUGAAAUAAAGAUAUCACAAAUUUGGUGUUCUAUUCAGGUAUACUAAUCUAUCCAAAAAACUCCAAUUGAUGAUUCAACCAUUCAGAUUGAAAAACCACGAGUGUUGAACCUUCUAUUAAAAUUUCACCUCAAUCAGGCCAAGGAUCAAAGAGAUAUCAUUCUUUGAUGAAGACUGCACACAACGGAGGUGUUCUCCUCUCCUUUUCCACCCUACUCUGUUAAAAUGAUUAUAUCUUAUAGUUAACUAUUCUGAUCAACGAUCUAAUUGACCAGAAUCAAGAGACAUAAGAGACGAAGCUAUUGUCUAAAUUUCAGCACGAUCCAAUGGUGCAAAACAGAGAUAAAAAAGAUUGAUCAAAACUACUCUGAAGCGAUUCUAUUUCCAACCAAUUCUGUUUAGGCGGCUAUAGGAUUAAGUAGACAACUCUAAUCAAUGAUCCCAUCGUCUAGAAUGAAGAGCUACAAGUGAUGAACCAAUUGACCAAGUUUCGGCUUAAAUGAACCAUAGAUCAUGGAGAUCUAUUUCUUGGAUGAAAACGGCUCCUUCACACUCUUCAAUUUCUUCUUCUUUCUCGCUUACUCUUCUCUUUUUCCUCUCAAAAUCAUCGACUGCACUCUUCUCUCUCUAUAUUGUGAGAAGUAGAUCCUUUUUUGGGGUUCUUG
rnacentral:lncRNA from 1 species